UGCAUAUUAAUCCUAAAUGCGUAGUUAUAGUGAAACUUAGCUUUGAGCAAGGCCUGAACAUGAAGAUACACCUGCAAGCUUGCUAUAGGUUAAGAUGUUAAGAUAAGAUAGAUGAUUUUAUUAGGAUUGGAUAAUGCUUGUAACGACCACCCCUGUUUCCUACUGAAUAUAACCUGUUACACCGUCCAUUAAAUGUCAGAAGUCACUUUGAACCUUACUUUGUCUUGUCUCGUUCAUUGGAGCUCCUAACCAGCUGGUUUGGGGACAGAGGAGAAAUGCAGAGAGUUGCAAAUUGAUACAAAAGACCUUGGCAAGAGGAAAUUCC